rnacentral:rRNA from 1 species
GACGAACGCUGGCGGCGUGCCUAAUACAUGCAAGUAGAGCGCAGUUGCGAACGGGUGCGUAACGCGUAGGUAACCUGCCUCAUUGCGGGGGAUAACUAUUGGAAACGAUAGCUAAUACCGCAUACUGUGAGAUGGACCUGCGUGGUAUUAGCUAGUUGGUGAGGUAAAGGCUCACCACGGCGACGAUACAUAGCUGACCUGAGAGGAUUAUCGUCCACACUGGGACUGAGACACGGCCCAGACUCCUACGGGAGGCAGCUGUAGGGAAUCUUGGACAAUGGACGCAAGGCUGAUCGAGCAACGCCGCGUGAGUGAAGAAGGUCUGCGGAUCGGAAAGCGCUGUUGUGAGAGAGGCGGUAUCUAGCCAGAAAGCAGCGGCUAACUACGUGCCAGCAGCCGCGGUAAUAC